GAUGAACGCUAGCUACAGGCUUAACACAUGCAAGUCGAGGGACCGGCGCACGGGUGAGUAACACGUAUCCACCCUAUCCAUAACUCAGGGAUAACCCCGCGAAAGUUGGACUAAUACCUUAUGGUUAUGGAUGGGGAUGCGUCUGAUUAGCUUGUUGGCGGGGUAACGGCCCACCAAGGCAACGAUCAGUAGGGGUUCUGAGAGGAAGGUCCCCCACAUUGGAACUGAGACACGGUCCAAACUCCUACGGGAGGCAGCAGUGAGGAAUAUUGGUCAAUGGACGCAAGUCUGAACCAGCCAAGUAGCGUGCAGGAUGACGGCCUAUGGGUUGUAAACUGCUUUUAUAUGGGGAUAGGUACCAUAUGAAUAAGGACCGGCUAAUUCCGUGCCAGCAGCCGCGGUAAUAC
rnacentral:rRNA from 1 species